AUUCUGACGCCCCCAUUCACGCACGUUUUGGGGCGCAGACGUGACAUGGACCAAUCAAAUUAAAAAUAAAAGUAUUUAAACUUACCUGGCCCUAGAUUAUGGGCCCUAUUGUGGUUUCUGUUCCCAGUACCCUUUAGUGCGUUCCUUGUGAUUAGAAUAUUAUUCUGGUAUUGACCUUGGCUUUGUUUCCUGACUCUGAGUUUCUUUUUAAUCCUUGCCUGUCUUGUUUACCCUUCUGAUUUUUACUGUGUACCUAACUCUGGCUAGCUCUCGUUUCCGCUGUCUCUCCAUUACCCUGACCUCGGCUCAUAUUUCAAAUACUUUUCUCUGUCUAACAUUAAGUCCGGCCACUCUAAGGCCCAGUAAGACGUUUAUAUUUCAUUAAUCCGUUCCUUGCUAUCCUAAACUCUGCGUGUUAGGGUUAAUACUCUGUGACAUGCAUAAGCUGAUAGGUCACUGUUUUUUUUUCCUCCAAACUGAAGGACGGUCAUUCACGCUAUAGACUUGAUGUGUGGGACAGCUUUGUUCUUUUCAAGAUGGAAAGGUAAGUAGGACAUCAAUUCAACCAAACUCAAUUUUUCCCUGUGCACAAGUCUGUCUAUACAUCAAUCAAUUAAUCAAUGUAUCUAUUCAUCUAUCUAUCUGUCUAUGUGUUUGUCUAUGUGUCUAUCUGUCUAUGUGUCUGUCUGCCUGCCUGCCUGCCUGCCUGCCUGAAUUUAUGUAUAUAGAGAGAGAUGGAUGGAUGGCUGUAUGGACAGACAUAUAGGAGAAAGAUUGAUCCCAUGGCUAAAAAAGAAAAGGGAGAUCUAGUGUAUAAAAUGCUGCAAUACGCACAUUUUAAAUGGAAUCCUGCCCGGUUUUCCAGAAAAGACAGAAGAGUUUGAUUUAGUAUUUUUGGAAGUAACCACUCUCUGAUUUUUAUCAUUUGAAUGUGUUUCUCUCCCAAAGCCAAAAUAACCUUUUAUAUUGUUUGUUUAGUGCUCUUAGGAAAAUGUAGUCUUGUCAGUCAUGCUGAAGGAUUUGAUUUACCAGGCAAAGAAAUGUGUUUUGAAAUGUUUCAUUAAUAACAUGUGUUUACUGUUGGGAGAAGCAGACUUUAGUGUGUGAAGAUUUUUGUUUGUCUAUCAUUUACUGUAACCCCACUGCUAAUAACAUACAAUGGUUUGUGGUUCUGCCACCAUCUAACUCAGGUUUAAAUAUAUAAACUACAAUCAUGGUGGUCUGCCUAGAACAGUGGCACAAAGGCGUUACCUAACCUGUUAUACGAGCAGCUGACCUGGAAGGCUCAGUGAUCUAAUCAUAUUUUUGGACUGGGAAUAGAACAAAAAAAGCAUACUUGGG